AUGCUCGCUCCGGCAGCACAUAUACUAAAACUGGAACGAUACAGAGAAGAUUAGCAUGGCCCCUGUGCAAGGAUGACACGCAAAUUCAUGAAGCGUUCCAUUUUUUU